rnacentral:rRNA from 1 species
UACGGGGGGGGCAAGCGUUGUUCGGAAUUACUGGGCGUAAAGGGCUCGUAGGCGGCCAACUAAGUCGGACGUGAAAUCCCCAGGCUCAACCUGGGAACUGCGUCCGAUACUGGAUGGCUUGAAUUCGGGAGAGGGAUGCAGAAUUCCAGGUGUAGCGGUGAAAUGCGUAGAUAUCUGGAGGAAUACCGGUGGCGAAGGCGGCAUCCUGGACCGACAUUGACGCCGAUGAGCGAAAGCUAGGGGAGCAAACGGG